rnacentral:rRNA from 1 species
UACGAAGGGUGCAAGCGUUACUCGGAAUUACUGGGCGUAAAGCGUGCGUAGGUGGUUCUUUAAGUCUGAUGUGAAAGCCCUGGGCUCAACCUGGGAAUGGCAUUGGAUACUGGCGACCUAGAGUGCGGUAGAGGGUGGCGGAAUUCCCGGUGUAGCAGUGAAAUGCGUAGAUAUCGGGAGGAACAUCCGUGGCGAAGGCGGCCACCUGGACCAGCACUGACACUGAGGCACGAAAGCGUGGGGAGCAAACAGG